rnacentral:rRNA from 1 species
CAGCAGCCGCGGGAAUACGAAGGGUGCAAGCGUUAAUCGGAAUUACUGGGCGUAAAGCGUGCGUAGGCGGUGAGUUAAGUCUGCUGUGAAAUCCCCAGGCUCAACCUGGGAAUGGCAGUGGAUACUGGCUCGCUAGAGUGUGUCAGAGGAUGGUGGAAUUCCCGGUGUAGCGGUGAAAUGCGUAGAGAUCGGGAGGAACAUCAGUGGCGAAGGCGGCCAUCUGGGACAACACUGGCGCUGAGGCACGAAAGCGUGGGGAGCAAACAGGAUUAGAUACCCCUGUAGUCCCUGUCUCUUAUAC